rnacentral:rRNA from 1 species
GACGAACGCUGGCGGCGUGCUUAACACAUGCAAGUCGAACGGCAAGGCCCUGCUUUUGUGGGGUUCUCGAUUGGCGAACGGGUGCGUAACACGUAAGUAACCUGCCCUUGACUUUGGUGGAACUUCAGGAAACUGGGGCUACUACCGUAUAGGAUCUCCUGCUGCAUGGUGGGGGUUGGAAAGUUUAGGCGGUUGGGGAUGGACGCGCGGCUUAUCAGCUUGUUGGUGGGGUAGUGGCUUACCCAGGCUUUGACGGGUAGCCGGCCUGGGAGGGUGAACGGCCACAGUGGGACUGAGAUACGGCGCAGACUCCUACGGGAGGCAGUAGUGGGGAAUCUUGCACAAUGGGCGGAAGUCUGAUGCAGCAACGCCGCGUGCGGGAUGACGGCCUUCGGGUUGUAAACCGCUUUCGCCUGUGACGAAGCGGGAGUGACGGUAAUGGGUAAAGAAGCACCGGCUAACUACGUG